rnacentral:rRNA from 1 species
AGUGAACGCUGGCGGUAGGCCUAACACAUGCAAGUCGAACGGCAGCACAGUAAGAGCUUGCUCUUACGGGUGGCGAGUGGCGGACGGGUGAGGAAUACAUCGGAAUCUACUUUUUCGUGGGGGAUCACGUAGGGAAACUUACGCUAAUACCGCAUACGACCUACGGGUGAAAGCAGGGGAUCUUCGGACCUUGCGCGAUUGAACGAGCCGAUGUCGGAUUAGCUAGUUGGCGGGGUAAAGGCCCACCAAGGCGACGAUCCGUAGCUGGUCUGAGAGGAUGAUCAGCCACACUGGAACUGAGACACGGUCCAGACUCCUACGGGAGGCAGCAGUGGGGAAUAUUGGACAAAGGGCGCAAGCCUGAUCCAGCCAUACCGCGUGGGUGAAGAAGGCCUUCGGGUUGUAAAGACCUUUUGUUGGUAAAGAAAAGCAGCAGGUUAAUACCCCGCUGUUCUGACGGUACCCAAAGAAUAAGCACCGGCUAACUUCGUG